AAGGGGGCUCCGGACACGGGCUGGCGGGGCAGAUGUAGGCCCCGGGAGGAGCCGCUGCAGCUCCGGGCUCGGCGGUAACAGCCGCCCCGGCCUCCGUGGAGGCAGAGCCGGGAAGCCGGAACCGGGGUCGGCGGCGUUUCUAAGGCUAGAGCCGCUCCCGAGCUACCGGGGAAGCUGAAAAGCUGAAAUGGAAGGGCUGAGACCCCAGCCGCCCCCGCCGAUCGCCCGCCAGUACAAGAAGAGGAGGUCCUUGCGCCCGCCCAGUGGAGAAAAUUGAUGCUCUGGAAGGAAAUACUCAGAGAAUCGGAUCUAGCAUCUCCUAACGCAGCUCGCAAACAAGCGAAAGGUUGAUGGUGCACUCUGUGCCCAAAGACUGAGAAGACAGAAAGACAAAAGAAGAAACAGCUGCACUUCCAGGCAUACUUCAGGCAGGGCCUGGAGAAGGACUAACAACUUCCCAAGGAAGAGGCUGACUCUGGAUGGAGCCCUCAGAAAUCAGAAUCCAGGAUUUGGGGCUAUUAAGACACUGAAGCUCCUGACUUUUGAGAAUUUAAUAUGCCUUCAAGCAAAGUCCCUCAUAUCUGCUAUCUCUUUGAAUGCUUGCCAAAACUCUUAAGGAGGAGCAAUGGUAUAAUUCCUUACUUCUAUAGCUGAGGCUCAAAGAAUUGUCAAUUACUUGGCCAAAUUUUACAGCUGUGAAAUAACCAUAACAGGAUUUGAACCCAGACCUUGUGGGAAUCCAGAGCCCAAAGACUGACCACUCUGUAAGCCCCUUGCAGGGCUGUGCCAUACAACCAGAUAAUGGAAAUAUUGUACAUUUGCAAUUGUUUUCUCUAGCCACAUCUGGCUAUUGAGCCCUGCUUAAGGAAUUAAAAUAUUUAUUUUUGGUACUGGGAAUUUAACAAAGGAGCACUUUAUCACUAAGCUACAUC